rfam:Brassica napus, WGS project CCCW01000000 data, contig: 10180
GGUCCUAAAGGAACAUAUGAUAAAAUUGGCACGAUAUAGAGAAGAUUAACAUGAUUCAUGUGCAAAGAUGACACACAAAUCUUGAGAAAUGGUCCAAAAUUUU